AAAAAAAAAAAAAAAAAAAAAAAAAUCUGCCAAGUCCUAGGGGAGAGAGGCCAGAGCAGUCCCCACCCAACAGCCCUAGGCUGAGGAUCCAACAGGCUCCUGGGAGCCUUCAGUGACAAUGACAGAGGAGGGGCAGCACAGAGCUCCACAGGCUCUUCCACAUCAGCAGGACUCAGGAGCAGGGAUAGCCCCGCACACCCGGUAGGACCUUGGACAGACACAGCCAGCCAGCAUAGAGGAAGUGGCCUGGACCCGGAGAGGGGACCAAGGGGCUCUGCUGAAGCCCCCACUCCCACCCCCACUCCUCUGCUGCCGCUCAGGGUCAGACAUCUGGUCUGAUAUCUGACUUGCUUUGUACUCUCUGGAAACUCCUUUAGUCUUUUAGAGCCUUGGUUUCCCAUCUGUGAACUAGAGGUGGCCACGGCCCCACCCUCCUGCAGUCCCUGUGGAGGAGAUAGCAUCAGCCUGUGAGCUGCCUGCUGAUGUGGACAGUGGGGGCCGUUCUGCUUUCUGUCUUUGUCACUACCUGCCCUGGGGCCUCUCCUGCUCGCCUCAGCCCAGUGUUGCCCAGGCUCCAGCUUCCCUGCUGGGCUAGCAGAGGGGAGUGCUGGGGGACACAGGACCAGCUCAGGGCACAUGUGCUGGAUUUUUCCACACGAAACACGUCUCUCAGAGAAGUAACCGGUCGGAUGAGCUGGGUGUGCGUUGUUCCCACCCCGCCUUCCAUGCCCCUCCGUGCAGUCGCCAAGAGGCUGCCCACACCAGCGGCCCGGGAUGGAGCCCAGGACGACUCAGCCAGCAGCAGCAGCCUCUGGGAUGAGCCAAGGGGCUGGCAGGGUCUGGACCACCAGCAGGGUAGGUGCCCCACCCUGCACCUGGUAGACCCCUGGUAGACCUCCACCCAAGGGAGUUCUGCGCCUUCCCAGGGGAUGCUCUGCCCCUGGCCCACACUCUCACCACAUCCUUACCCCUGAUCCUGCCCCCACUAAGGUAAAAGUCAGGGCAGUGGAUGGGGGCUCAGAGGGCUCAGGAUAAGAGCAGGGACAGGCAGAGGCCUGGGGGGCAGCACUGGCCCAGCAUCAGGAGUGAGGGCUGUGGAGCCACCCCCAUCCUUCCCAGCCUCUCCCCAGCCUUCCCCAACCCCACCCCGUCUCCUAGGGUCCUGGUGGACGCUGGGCCUGACCAGGGCACCUUCAGAGCAUGCCGCCCGCACCCCUGGCAACCCUUUCAGUUCUCCACCCCAGGACCCCCAGCUCCUGUCCCCAGCCUGGCAGGCACAGACAUGAGUCUGGGCCCCUCUGAGUCAAACCCCCGGGGCAGCCCCGCCUGCCCAAGUAGGCCUGCUCCCUGACUCAUGUGCUGGGAAUAGCCUCCCACCCCAGGCCUGGGGGGCAGCAGGCAGAGGUGCCAGAGAAGGGCCCACCUGUAGAGUUGGGGGCUGGGGGAGCUCAGGGUCUAUGGGCCUGGGAGUCUCACCAUUCCGAGGACCAGGACAAGGGCUGCCAUGGGGCCACCUUCAACACUAGCACUCAGGUCUGAGUCCUCUGUCUUCAGCCAGCCCCUUACAGUAGCUCUGGGUGCUAAUCCUACCUGGGGCUGGCCCAGCUCUUGUGGGGUCCUUGGAACCCCCAACCCUUCAGACUUUUCCCUGAAGGCUAGAUGGCAAGCCCUGGCCCCCUGGCAGGGCCCCUGCAUGUUCGUUGAGCCCAGGAAGCUGGCACCAUGGGACCCGGUGAGCCUCACAGGCUAGAAGCAAGCAGGGCUGGAGUUGUGGCCUGGACCUGAGAUGGGAGAUCAACUGGAAGCAAGAGCCUGGGGCCUGUU
rnacentral:lncRNA from 1 species